GACGAACGCUGGCGGCGUGCUUAACACAUGCAAGUCGAACGGAAAGGCCCUGCUUUUGUGGGGUGCUCGAGUGGCGAACGGGUGAGUAACACGUGAGUAACCUGCCCUUGACUUUGGGAUAACUUCAGGAAACUUGGGCUAAUACCGGAUAGGAGCUCCUGCUGCAUGGUGGGGGUUGGAAAGUUUCGGCGGUUGGGGAUGGACUCGCGGCUUAUCAGCUUGUUGGUGGGGUAGUGGCUUACCAAGGCUUUGACGGGUAGCCGGCCUGAGAGGGUGACCGGCCACAUUGGGACUGAGAUACGGCCCAGACUCCUACGGGAGGCAGCAGUGGGGAAUAUUGCACAAUGGGCGGAAGCCUGAUGCAGCAACGCCGCGUGCGGGAUGACGGCCUUCGGGUUGUAGACCGCUUUCGCCUGUGACGAAGCGUGAGUGACGGUAAUGGGUAAAGAAGCACCGGCUAACUACGUG
rnacentral:rRNA from 1 species